UGAGGAAUAUUGCGCAAUGGGCGAAAGCCUGACGCAGCGACGCCGCGUGGAGGAUGAAGGUCUUCGGAUUGUAAACUUCUGUUAAGUGGGAAGAAAGGACUGCUUUUAAUAAAAGCAGUAAAUGACGGUACCAUUAGAGAAAGCACCGGCUAAACUCGUGCCAGCAGCCGCGGUAAUACGAGUGGUGCAAGCGUUAUUCGGAAUCAUUGGGCGUAGAGGGUGUGUAGGCGGCAUGUUAAGUCUGUUGUUAAAGACUCCAGCCUAACUGGAGGCAGGCAGCGGAAACUGGCGUGCUAGAGGGUGGAAGAGAGAAGUGGAAUUCUCGGUGUAGCGGUAAAAUGCGUAGAUAUCGAGAGGAACACCGAUGGCGAAGGCAGCUUCUUGGUCCAUACCUGACGCUGAAACACGAAAGCGUGGGGAGCAAACA
rnacentral:rRNA from 1 species